UACGUAGGCAGCGAGCGUUGUUCGGAAUUACUGGGCGUAAAGAGUGUGUAGGCGGUGCUCCCAGUCUGUUGUGAAAUCUCCCGGCUUAACUGGGAGGGUGCAGCGGAAACUAGAGUGCUAGAGGGUGGGAGAGGUAAGCGGAAUUCCUGGUGUAGCGGUGAAAUGCGUAGAUAUCAGGAGGAACACCUGUGGUGUAGACAGCUUCUGGACCACUUCUGACGCUGAGA
rnacentral:rRNA from 1 species